CAGUCGCCGCGGGAAUACGUAGGUGGCAAGCGUUGUCCGGAAUUAUUGGGCGUAAAGCGCGCGCAGGCGGUUUCUUAAGUCUGAUGUGAAAGCCCCCGGCUUAACCGGGGAGGGUCAUUGGAAACUGGGAGACUUAGAGUGCAGAAGAGGAGAGUGGAAUUCCAUGUGUAGCGGUGAAAUGCGUAGAUAUAUGGAGGAACACCAGUGGCGAAGGCGACUCUCUGGUCUGUAACUGACGCUGAGGCGCGAAAGCGUGGGGAGCAAACAGGAUUAGAUACCCGGGUAGUCCCUGUCUCUUAUA
rnacentral:rRNA from 1 species